rnacentral:rRNA from 1 species
UAAAACAGUUGCUUCGGCGGCGCCCUGACCGGCCCGCCGGAGACCACCAAACUCUUUGUUUUUAUACACUGGCCUCUCUGAGUUAUUGUACUGUAAUAAGUCAAAACUUUCAACAACGGAUCUCUUGGUUCUGGCAUCGAUGAAGAACGCAGCGAAAUGCGAUAAGUAAUGUGAAUUGCAGAAUUCAGUGAAUCAUCGAAUCUUUGAACGCACAUUGCGCCCGCUAGUAUUCUGGCGGGCAUGCCUGUUCGAGCGUCAUUUCAACCAUCAAGCUUCAGGCUUGUGUUGGGGCCCUGCGGCUGCCGCAGGCCCCUAAAAGCAGUGGCGGACUCGCUGUCAUACCGAGCGCAGUAACACAUCUCGCUCAGGGCGUGGCGGCGGGCACCGGCCGUAAAACUCUUACACCUAAGGUUGACCUCGGAUCAGGUAGGAA